UACGGGGGGGGCAAGCGUUGUUCGGAAUUACUGGGCGUAAAGGGCUCGUAGGUGGCCAACUAAGUCAGACGUGAAAUCCCUCGGCUUAACCGGGGAACUGCGUCUGAUACUGGAUGGCUUGAGUUCGGGAGAGGGAUGCGGAAUUCCAGGUGUAGCGGUGAAAUGCGUAGAUAUUGGGAGGAACACCAGUGGCGAAGGCGGCUUUCUGGCCUGUCCUUGACGCUGAGGCGCGAAAGCCAGGGGAGCAAACGGG
rnacentral:rRNA from 1 species